GACGAACGCUGGCGGCGUGCCUAAUACAUGCAAGUAGAACGCUGAAGGAGGAGCUUGCUUCUCCGGAUGAGUUGCGAACGGGUGAGUAACGCGUAGGUAACCUGCCUGGUAGCGGGGGAUAACUAUUGGAAACGAUAGCUAAUACCGCAUAAGAGUAGAUGCUGCAUGACAUUUGCUUAAAAGGUGCAAUUGCAUCACUACCAGAUGGACCUGCGUUGUAUUAGCUAGUUGGUGGGGUAACGGCUCACCAAGGCGACGAUACAUAGCCGACCUGAGAGGGUGAUCGGCCACACUGGGACUGAGACACGGCCCAGACUCCUACGGGAGGCAGCAGUAGGGAAUCUUCGGCAAUGGACGGAAGUCUGACCGAGCAACGCCGCGUGAGUGAAGAAGGUUUUCGGAUCGUAAAGCUCUGUUGUAAGAGAAGAACGAGUGUGAGAGUGGAAAGUUCACACUGUGACGGUAUCUUACCAGAAAGGGCGG
rnacentral:rRNA from 1 species